GACGAACGCUGGCGGCGUGCUUAACACAUGCAAGUCGAACGAAGUGGCGAACGGGUGAGUAACGCGUAAUCAACCUGCCCUUCAGAGGGGGACAACAGUUGGAAACGACUGCUAAAACCGCAUACGGAAGGGGGGGGUUGCGUUGGAUUAGCUAGUUGGGGGGGAAACGGCCCACCAAGGCGAUGAUCCGUAGCCGGUCUGAGAGGAUGACCGGCAACACUGGGACUGAGACACGGCCCAGACUCCUACGGGAGGCAGCAGUAGGGAAUCUUCCGCAAUGGACGAAAGUCUGACGGAGCAACGCCGCGUGAGUGAUGACGGCCUUCGGGUUGUAAAGCUCUGUUAAUCGGGACGCGGUACCGGAAUAGAAAGCCACGGCUAACUACGUGCCAGCCGCCGCGGUAAUAC
rnacentral:rRNA from 1 species